AAAUAAACAAAUACAUAAUUAUUGUGUCCGUUACGAAAAGUAAUAGAACAAUUUUUAAUUAAUAAAAACGUGUGUGAAUUUAUUGGAAACUAUAAAUUAAAUGUGCGCGAACGAAAACGUGUUUUUCAUAUAACCUAUAUUUGUUAUUUUUUACAUAGGAGUGUACAAUGGAGAAGAAAAAGAAAUUUGUGAAAAAACAACUAAAUAUAAGUCGAAGAAGGCUCGCGUCUUUCACCUUUUCGAAAAAGACAGUUGCGAUGUAAGGAAUCUGCUAACUCUGGUGAAUGCCUUGGAAUUCCACACAUUGUAUGCAUCGGAACGAUUGUGUUGACAAAGGAUAAUGAUUUGAAAUUUUACGUGUGUCUGUCCGAUACAACGGAACAAGAUUAAUCCGUAUUUCUUGAGAGAACUGCUAAUUGUAAAUAUUUGACCAUUGAGUUUUUGCAAUCCUUUCAGUUUCGAUCUCAAUACUUUUGGGAAAUAUAUUGCCAAAAAGCAGAUGAGAAAUGCUUCAAAAAUAACUUCCGGGUCAGCAGAGAGGUUUUCAACAAAUCGUGUGAAUUGCUAAAUGGGCUACAAAAAUCCUAUACAAAUAUGCGAGAAGUAAUACCAUUGAAAAAAAGAGUUACAAUAGGUUUAUAUACCUUGAGAUCUUCUGCCGAGUACCGCACAAUAGCAAACAUGUUUGGAGUUGGAAAGAGUACAGUCUGUAAAAUACUCUUGCAGUUUUGCAAUGAGGUCUGGAGAGUUCUUGCUCUAAUUUUCCAAAAAAAGUUCUUGCUCCAAAAAUUUUCCCCUAACAAGAGAAAAGAUAGAAGUACUCUGUCAAUAAUUUGAAAUACUAGGGUUUCCGCAAUGUAUAGGUGCGCUGGACGGUUGCCACAUUGAGGUUCAUCCAUCUAAGGAAGACGCUACAGAUUACUACAACUACAAGGGAUGAUACUCAGUCGUACUGCUUGCAUUGGUAGAUGCGAGAUGUGGUUUCAUUUAUGUUAGUUGUGGGAGUCCAGGACGUUGCAUAGAUUCUCAGAUCUUUGAAGGUUCUUCCCUCAAACAGCAGCUUAACGAAUGCAGCCAUUUAAAGGAAGUAAAACGAAAUAUUUUGGGCGUUGAGGUUCCAGCCCUUAUAAUCGGCGAUUCGGCAUUAAAAUUAAGCGACAAGUUGAUGAAACCUUAUCCAUUUCAACUGUCACAAAAUCUCGAGCAAAAAUGCUUUAAUUACACGUUGUCAAAAUCACGCAGAGUAGUUGAAAAUGCCUUAAGGCACGUUUUCGACGAAUCGGAAAAGCGAGCACAAUGAUGUUGUUAACGACAAGUGGUUGAAAGCAUUACAAUCUGUUGAGGCAAAUAUAUCCUAUCCUGAAGAAAUUAUAAUUCAUGCAGAUCAAAGCAGCGGCCAUAAUGGGGAAGAAAUACGAAAUGAUAUUUCAAUAUAUUUAUGUAAGUAUUAUUGAUCCCAGUAAAAUGCUAUUGUCAAAGAAGAGUUGACAUAUGCACAUUAAAUAUAUGCAGGCAUUCAUUUUUUAAAUAUAUAUUCUUUACCAUUUUUUAAGUGCAAAAAAAUUGUUAUAACGAAGAGGACGACAUGUACAAUAUUAAUGAAGCUAAUUCAUUUUUAAAUGUGGAGGAAAAAUACACGUUCCCUUCUGGAGAA